AUUGAACGCUGGCGGCAUGCCUUACACAUGCAAGUCGAACGGCAGCGGACCUUCGGGUGCCGGCGAGUGGCGAACGGGUGAGUAAUGUAUCGGAACGUACCUUUCAGUGGGGGAUAACGUAGCGAAAGUUACGCUAAUACCGCAUAUUCUGUGAGCAGGAAAGCAGGGGAUCGCAAGACCUUGCGCUGAUUGAGCGGCCGAUAUCAGAUUAGCUAGUUGGUGAGGUAAAGGCUCACCAAGGCGACGAUCUGUAGCGGGUCUGAGAGGAUGAUCCGCCACACUGGAACUGAGACACGGUCCAGACUCCUACGGGAGGCAGCAGUGGGGAAUUUUGGACAAUGGGGGCAACCCUGAUCCAGCCAUGCCGCGUGAGUGAAGAAGGCCUUCGGGUUGUAAAGCUCUUUCGUCCGGGAAGAAAUCGCAUCAGCUAAUACCUGGUGUGGAUGACGGUACCGGAAUAAGAAGCACCGGCUAACUCUGUGCCAGCCGCCGCAGUAAAAC
rnacentral:rRNA from 1 species